GAAAAUGCCACGGGGCUAUUGAGGCACGUUCCACACUCACCCAAGUCGAGAUUCCAUCGGGUGACAGAAGUUUUUUAAUAGAGAUAGAUAAGGCGGUAGGUUAAAUUACUAAACACCCUUGUUUGCUGAGGGGGGCUUGCUCUUUUUUCAAAAUGGGUCGAUUACCUGAUUGCUAUGGCUAUGAGACUAGUGCAAAGAAGUAAGAAUCAGUCAAAUUUGUUAAUGAAAUAUCUGUAUCGCCCUUAGCUUGAAAACAAGCCCUUAUAUCAAAUAUCAAACAGGCGUCUAAGAAUAAGAAGUCUACCUUUCGAUUGUUAUUGGCUUAUUCUCUAGCAUCCGAUUGUGGGCAUCAAUCCCAGCCAUCUUCAUUUCAGUCCUUGCUUUGGCUCUUUCUCUAAGACCGUGGUUAAGAAGUUCCAUCGCCUUACUAAUUUUAUUAGAUGCAGCGUAACGACUCCUUUUGCUUCUGGAGUGAACUUCCUUGUCAGCUCUAUAAGGGCCUCUCUUAAAGCAGAAAAAGACGAGUUCCAGUAGUCUCAGCCCCAAACCCCAUUUGAUAGAGUUUCAUCCAAGGCAGCCCCUUCUGUUUAAAGCAAAUCGUCUGCUCUCUUUUGGGGAGAGGAAUUCCUUGAUGCAUCGAAUGCUGCUAAUAAAUGCGCUGUUGUUUCUGAGUUAAUAACCGGUCUUGUCGUAUCUGCUGUGAGCCUAUCUGCUGUUGUAAGAAAACUAACUUCAUGCGUAAAAGCUCUCUCUGGCCGAUCACAAAGCUAUAAAAUCUUCAUUCCGGGUUAGGGGAAAGGCGAUUCAGGGAUUUCCUAUUGCGAAACUCUUUUACCAUAUAGUGAAUUACUACGGGUAUAAAAAAGAAGAAAGAACUAUGACACGUAGACGGGGCGAAAUCUCUCUACGAUUACGUUCCUAUAGAAAGGGGGUGCUAUGGAAAAGAGGAAUCUCAGGUACUUUUAACUUUAUGCCCAUCUUGCUUCUGGUAAUGCAAAUGGAAAUUCUCAUU
rnacentral:lncRNA from 1 species